rnacentral:rRNA from 1 species
AACAAACGCUGGCGGCGUGCCUAACACAUGCAAGUCGUACGAGAAAGGGUCCUUCGGGACCUGAGUAAAGUGGCGCACGGGUGAGUAGCGCGUGGAUAAUCUACCCUUCAGUUGGGAACAACUCAUCGAAAGGUGGGCUAAUACCGAAUAAUACUGCUCGACCUUGGUCGAGCAGCCAAAGAGAGCCUCUGCUUGCAAGCCCUCGCUGAAGGAUGAGUUCGCGUACCAUUAGCUUGUUGGUAGGGUAAUGGCCUACCAAGGCGACGAUGGUUAGCUGGUCUGAGAGGAUGAUCAGCCACACUGGAACUGAGACACGGUCCAGACUCCUACGGGAGGCAGCAGUGAGGAAUCUUGCGCAAUGGGGGAAACCCUGACGCAGCAACGCCGCGUGAGUGAGGAAGGUCUUCGGAUCGUAAAGCUCUGUCAGUUGGAAAGAAAUGUCUGAGAGUCAAUCCCUUUCAGGCUUGACGGUACCAACAGAGGAAGCACCGGCUAACUCCGUGCCAGCCGCCGCGGUAA